CGCGGGAGUCGGGCGGACGAUGCCGUCGCCAACCCGGUCAGGUCCGGAAGGAAGCAGCCGUAACGAUUUUCGUGUCGGGUCGUCCCGGCUCCCACCUUCA
rnacentral:SRP_RNA from 1 species